rnacentral:rRNA from 1 species
CCUACGGGAGGCAGCAGUGGGGAAUAUUGCACAAUGGGGGAAACCCUGAUGCAGCGACGCCGCGUGAGUGAAGCAGUAUUUCGGUAUGUAAAGCUCUAUCAGCAGGGAAGAAAAUGACGGUACCUGAUUAAGAAGCCCCGGCUAACUACUUGCCCGCAGCCGCGGUAAUACGUAGGGGGCAAGCGUUAUCCGGAUUUACUGGGGGUAAAGGGAGCGUAGACGGCAGCACAAGUCGGGAGUGAAAUGCCGGGGCUGAACCCCGGAACGGCGUUGGAAACUGUGAAGCUAGAGUGAAGGAGGGGUACGUGGAAUUCCGGGUGUAGCGGUGAAAUGCGUAGAUAU